rnacentral:rRNA from 1 species
GUGCCAGCCGCCGCGGUAAUACCGGCAGCUCAAGUGAUGGCCACUCUUAUUGGGCCUAAAGCGUCCGUAGCUGGCCGCGCAAGUCCGUCGGGAAAUCCAUCAGCCCAACUGAUGGGCGUCCGGCGGAAACUGCACGGCUUGGGACCGGAAGGCUCGAGAGGUACGUCCGGGGUAGGAGUGAAAUCCCGUAAUCCUGGACGGACCACCGGUGGCGAAAGCGCCUCGAGAGGACGGACCCGACAGUGAGGGACGAAAGCCAGGGUCUCGAACCGGAUUAGAUACCCUAGUAGUCC